AAUUAAUGUAAAUUACUAAAAUAUAAAAAUAAAUAAAUGAACGAAUAUAAAACGAACAACAUAUCAAACGUUCACCAACGUAAACGAACGAACGAGCCUUUUGUUCGUGUUCAUUCAUUUAAUUAAACGAACAUAAAAUCUUGUUCAU